rnacentral:rRNA from 1 species
AUGAACAUCACUCUUCUCUCCCGCUGGCUCUGGCGCAUCGCCCAGGGCCAUGGCGGCCUCUGGUUGGACAUUAUCCGGAAUAAAUACCUUCGGGGUCAACCCCUUGCCUUCUGCCAGAGAUCGGGCGGCUCCCAGUUCUGGCAGUCCAUUGUUCAGCUUCUCCCAGUGCUGCGCAUUGGGACCUCCAUCUCGGUGGGCUCUGGCCUCUCGACUCUCUUC